GCCCUCGUAGCUCAGAGGAUAGAGCACUGGCCUCCGGAGCCAGGUGCCCAGGUUCGAGUCCUGGCGGGGGUA
rnacentral:tRNA from 1 species